rnacentral:rRNA from 1 species
AGCAGCCGCGGUAAUUCCAGCUCCAAUAGCGUAUAUUAAAGUUGUUGCAGUUAAAAAGCUCGUAGUUGAAUUUCGGGAUCAGUACGUCAGUCGUGCCUCCGGUAUGUACUGGCGUUACUGAUUUCUCCCUUCUGGUGAACCAUGAUGUCAUUAAUUUGGUGUUGUGGGGAGCCAGGACUGUUACUUUGAAAAAAUUAGAGUGUUUAAAGCAGGCAAACGCUUGAAUACAUUAGCAUGGAAUAAUGAAAUAGGACGUUCGAACCUAUUUUGUUGGUUUCUAGGAUCAACGUAAUGAUUAAUAGGGAUAGUUGGGGGCAUUAGUAUUCAAUUGUCAGAGGUGAAAUUCCUGGAUUUAUUGAAGACUAACUACUGCGAAAGCAUUUGCCAAGGAUGUUUUCAUUAAUCAAGAACGAAAGUUAGGGGAUCGAAGACGAUCAGAUACCGUCGUAGUCUUAACCAUAAACUAUGCCGACUAGGGAUCGGAUGAAGUUAAUUUUUAAUGACUCAUUCGGCGCCUUAC